AUGGCCAACCUGGGAACCUGAAAUAAAGCAAAUUCAUGUUGCUUUCAUUCUGUUGACUUGAUUCACUAGCAGAAAAUACAAACUGAGGAAUAAAAUAUAAAUCCAACUCUUCUAAAUCAUUUUUCUCCUAAAGACAUUGAAAUUUGUGUUUUUCAUUCAGUACACUCCUCUGUGCUACCAGUAGUGUUAGUAGUACAGCACUUUUUUAACUACCCAAUAAAUAUAACAGUGGCUCCACAGAUCUAAGUAUUAUCUCAUGUG
rnacentral:lncRNA from 1 species